UACGUAGGAGGCAAGCGUUGUCCGGAAUUACUGGGCGUAAAGCGCGUGUAGGUGGUGGGACAAGUCUGCUGUGAAAGCGCCUGGCUUAACCGGGCGAGGUCGGCGGAAACUGUUCGACUCGAGGACGGUAGAGGGGGGUGGAAUUCCCGGUGUAGUGGUGAAAUGCGUAGAGAUCGGGAGGAACACCUGUGGCGAAGGCGGCCCCCUGGGCCGGCCCUGACACUGAGACGCGAAAGCUAGGGGAGCAAACAGG
rnacentral:rRNA from 1 species